rnacentral:rRNA from 1 species
GGUUAAGCGACUAAGCGUACACGGUGGAUGCCCUGGCAGUCAGAGGCGAUGAAGGGCGUGCUAAUCUGCGAUAAGCGCCGGUAAGGUGAUAUGAACCGUUAUAACCGGCGAUACCCGAAUGGGGAAACCCAGUGUGACUCGUCACACUAUCAUUAACUGAAUCCAUAGGUUAAUGAGGCGAACCGGGGGAACUGAAACAUCUAAGUACCCCGAGGAAAAGAAAUCAACCGAGAUUCCCCCAGUAGCGGCGAGCGAACGGGGAGGAGCCCAGAGCCUGAAUCAGCAUGUGUGUUAGUGGAAGCGUCUGGAAAGGCGCGCGAUACAGGGUGACAGCCCCGUACACAAAAGCGCAUGUGCUGUGAGCUCGAUGAGUAGGGCGGGACACGUGGUAUCCUGUCUGAAUAUGGGGGGACCAUCCUCCAAGGCUAAAUACUCCUGACUGACCGAUAGUGAACCAGUACCGUGAGGGAAAGGCGAAAAGAACCCCGGCGAGGGGAGUGAAAAAGAACCUGAAACCGUGUACGUACAAGCAGUGGGAGCACAGGUUUACCUGUGUGACUGCGUACCUUUUGUAUAAUGGGUCAGCGACUUAUAUUCUGUAGCAAGGUUAACCGAAUAGGGGAGCCGGAGGGAAACCGAGUCUUAACCGGGCGUUAAGUUGCAGGGUAUAGACCCGAAACCCGGUGAUCUAGCCAUGGGCAGGUUGAAGGUUGGGUAACACUAACUGGAGGACCGAACCGACUAAUGUUGAAAAAUUAGCGGAUGACCUGUGGCUGGGGGUGAAAGGCCAAUCAAACCGGGAGAUAGCUGGUUCUCCCCGAAAGCUAUUUAGGUAGCGCCUCGUGAAUUCAUCUCCGGGGGUAGAGCACUGUUUCGGCUAGGGGGCCAUCCCGGCUUACCAACCCGAUGCAAACUGCGAAUACCGGAGAAUGUUAUCACGGGAGACACACGGCGGGUGCUAACGUCCGUCGUGAAGAGGGAAACAACCCAGACCGCCAGCUAAGGUCCCAAAGUCAUGGUUAAGUGGGAAACGAUGUGGGAAGGCCCAGACAGCCAGGAUGUUGGCUUAGAAGCAGCCAUCAUUUAAAGAAAGCGUAAUAGCUCACUGGUCGAGUCGGCCUGCGCGGAAGAUGUAACGGGGCUAAACCAUGCACCGAAGCUGCGGCAGCGACGCUGAUGCGUUGUUGGGUAGGGGAGCGUUCUGUAAGCCUGUGAAGGUGGCCUGUGAGGGUUGCUGGAGGUAUCAGAAGUGCGAAUGCUGACAUAAGUAACGAUAAAGCGGGUGAAAAGCCCGCUCGCCGGAAGACCAAGGGUUCCUGUCCAACGUUAAUCGGGGCAGGGUGAGUCGACCCCUAAGGCGAGGCCGAAAGGCGUAGUCGAUGGGAAACGGGUUAAUAUUCCCGUACUUGGUGUUACUGCGAAGGGGGGACGGAGAAGGCUAUGUUGGCCGGGCGACGGUUGUCCCGGUUUAAGCGUGUAGGUGUGUGUUCCAGGUAAAUCCGGUUCACUUUAACACUGAGGCGUGAUGACGAGGCACUACGGUGCUGAAGCAACAAAUGCCCUGCUUCCAGGAAAAGCCUCUAAGCAUCAGGUAACAUCAAAUCGUACCCCAAACCGACACAGGUGGUCAGGUAGAGAAUACCAAGGCGCUUGAGAGAACUCGGGUGAAGGAACUAGGCAAAAUGGUGCCGUAACUUCGGGAGAAGGCACGCUGACACGUAGGUGAAGUGAUUUACUCACGGAGCUGAAGUCAGUCGAAGAUACCAGCUGGCUGCAACUGUUUAUUAAAAACACAGCACUGUGCAAACACGAAAGUGGACGUAUACGGUGUGACGCCUGCCCGGUGCCGGAAGGUUAAUUGAUGGGGUCAGCGCAAGCGAAGCUCCUGAUCGAAGCCCCGGUAAACGGCGGCCGUAACUAUAACGGUCCUAAGGUAGCGAAAUUCCUUGUCGGGUAAGUUCCGACCUGCACGAAUGGCGUAAUGAUGGCCAGGCUGUCUCCACCCGAGACUCAGUGAAAUUGAACUCGCUGUGAAGAUGCAGUGUACCCGCGGCAAGACGGAAAGACCCCGUGAACCUUUACUAUAGCUUGACACUGAACAUUGAGCCUUGAUGUGUAGGAUAGGUGGGAGGCUUUGAAGUGUGGACGCCAGUCUGCAUGGAGCCGACCUUGAAAUACCACCCUUUAAUGUUUGAUGUUCUAACGUGGACCCGUAAUCCGGGUUGCGGACAGUGUCUGGUGGGUAGUUUGACUGGGGCGGUCUCCUCCUAAAGAGUAACGGAGGAGCACGAAGGUUGGCUAAUCCUGGUCGGACAUCAGGAGGUUAGUGCAAUGGCAUAAGCCAGCUUGACUGCGAGCGUGACGGCGCGAGCAGGUGCGAAAGCAGGUCAUAGUGAUCCGGUGGUUCUGAAUGGAAGGGCCAUCGCUCAACGGAUAAAAGGUACUCCGGGGAUAACAGGCUGAUACCGCCCAAGAGUUCAUAUCGACGGCGGUGUUUGGCACCUCGAUGUCGGCUCAUCACAUCCUGGGGCUGAAGUAGGUCCCAAGGGUAUGGCUGUUCGCCAUUUAAAGUGGUACGCGAGCUGGGUUUAGAACGUCGUGAGACAGUUCGGUCCCUAUCUGCCGUGGGCGCUGGAGAACUGAGGGGGGCUGCUCCUAGUACGAGAGGACCGGAGUGGACGCAUCACUGGUGUUCGGGUUGUCAUGCCAAUGGCACUGCCCGGUAGCUAAAUGCGGAAGAGAUAAGUGCUGAAAGCAUCUAAGCACGAAACUUGCCCCGAGAUGAGUUCUCCCUGAGACUUAAAGUCUCCUGAAGGAACGUUGAAGACGACGACGUUGAUAGGCCGGGUGUGUAAGCGCAGCGAUGCGUUGAGCUAACCGGUACUAAUGAACCGUGAGGCUUAACCUU